rfam:Camelus ferus unplaced genomic scaffold scaffold1652, whole genome shotgun sequence.
GAGGGUAUAGCUCAAAAGGUAGAGCGCAUGCUUAGCAUGCAUUGAGGUCCUGGGUUCAAUCCCCAGUACCUCCU